rnacentral:rRNA from 1 species
AGACAGUUGGAAACGACUGCUAAUACCGCAUAAGCCCACGGGUCGGCAUCGACCAGAGGGAAAAGGAGCAAUCCGCUUUGAGAUGGCUCGCGUCCGAUUAGCUAGUUGGUGAGGUAAUGGCCCACCAAGGCGAACGAUCGGUAGCCGGACUGAGAGGUUGAACGGCCACAUUGGGACUGAGACACGGCCCAGACUCCUACGGGAGGCAGCAUG